GAUGAACGCUGGCGGCGUGCCUAAUACAUGCAAGUCGAGCGAACAGAUGAGGAGCUUGCUCCUCUGACGUUAGCGGCGGACGGGUGAGUAACACGUGGAUAACCUACCUAUAAGACUGGGAUAACUUCGGGAAACCGGAGCUAAUACCGGAUAAUAUAUUGAACCGCAUGGUUCAAUAGUGAAAGACGGUUUUGCUGUCACUUAUAGAUGGAUCAGCGCCGCAUUAGCUAGUUGGUAAGGUAACGGCUUACCAAGGCAACGAUGCGUAGCCGACCUGAGCGGGUGAUCGGCCACACGGGAGCUGGGACACGGUCCAGACGCCUACGGGAGGCAGCAGUAGGGAAUCUUCCGCAAUGGGCGAGAGCCUGACGGAGCAACGCCGCGUGAGUGAUGAAGGUCUUCGGAUCGUAAAACUCUGUUAUUAGGGAAGAACAAAUGUGUAAGUAACUAUGCACGUCUUGACGGUACCUAAUCAGUAAGCCACGGCUAACUACGUG
rnacentral:rRNA from 1 species